rnacentral:rRNA from 1 species
AACGAACGCUGGCGGCAUGCCUAACACAUGCAAGUCGAACGAGACCUUCGGGUCUAGUGGCGCACGGGUGCGUAACGCGUGGGAACCUGCCCUUCGGUUCGGAAUAACAGUGAGAAAUUACUGCUAAUACCGGAUGAUGUCUUCGGACCAAAGAUUUAUCGCCGAGGGAUGGGCCCGCGUAGGAUUAGGUAGUUGGUGGGGUAAUGGCCUACCAAGCCGACGAUCCUUAGCUGGUCUGAGAGGAUGAUCAGCCACACUGGGACUGAGACACGGCCCAGACUCCUACGGGAGGCAGCAGUGGGGAAUAUUGGACAAUGGGCGAAAGCCUGAUCCAGCAAUGCCGCGUGAGUGAUGAAGGCCUUAGGGUUGUAAAGCUCUUUUACCAGGGAUGAUAAUGACAGUACCUGGAGAAUAAGCUCCGGCUAACUCCGUGCCAGCAGCCGCAGUAAAAC